AUGAAGAGAAUGCCCACAACAGUUUUCUUCUGUGUUCUAGACAUUUUACUAAACCUAUUUGCUAUUCUGGAAGCUGUGCAUAUCCUUGGUCUGUACUUGGCUCAGCAGCCAGAGGGCUCCUCGGCCCCACCAUAUAACCCAGGAGGACCCAGUGCCCCCAUCUCUUGGAGGCUCUGUGUCAUUUCUAAAGCUGGCAUGACUGUUUCAUUUCAGACUGCCUCAUGCUCCCUCCCCGGCCUGAGAGAGAGACCUGGUAGGCUUAUCCUACAGGAGCGUUUACGUUCUCAGUACAUGCAGAAGAUAGCAGACCUACUCUCUUGGCAAGAAUGGAUUCAUACUUUCCACUGCUGCCUGCGCCAGCCGGUUUCCAUAUCAGCCAGAGCCUCAGGAAGAUGGAAGGACAGUCAUUCUUUCCAUUCGUGCUGACCCCGCUCGCUAUCAGGCCUGAGUGCCAGCACGUUUAGCUCGAGGAGGCUGCCAAGUGCUGACCAGGCUGCGCAGGCCGGCUUCCGUUUCCAGCACACGUGAGGGUAGAUAAGAUGACUCUGGGCAUUCUCACGCUGGACUCACCUUACCUGGGAAAGCAAGACGGACAGGCCGCCUCCUCCCUGCUUGGGAGGCUGUGGCCAAUUCACUUGUAUUUUGAGCCACUGAAGUAAGUGCAGGGCCAAGCCUUUGGGUCUGAAAUUAAUGCAGUGUGGCAUCUCCCCCGACCCUGUUCCCUGAUGCCUGCUAUGAACUGUAAAGAAUACGAUUGAUAGCAAAUCCUGUGUGAAUUCUCUGGGAGAGANNNNNNNNNNNNNNNNNNNNNNNNNNNGGGGGGGGGGGGUGG
rnacentral:lncRNA from 1 species